rnacentral:lncRNA from 1 species
UGGGCUUAAUAUGGAUCGAAUCUCAAGGUAUCAAAUUCUAACAUAAUUUUUUUUAAACCUCAUAAUUUAUCAAUCAUUGCUUGAACAUCUUGAACAUCCAUAGAUUGAGAUGAUGAAGUAUCAGAUUUUCUUAACUGUAUAUAAUUGUUGUAGAGAUUAUCUGUCAUAUGAUCUGAUAUCUUCUCAUCGGAUUAUAACCAAGCACUCACUGACAAACCAGUAUUGGAUACCAAAAGAGGACCCAAAGAACCAAGGGAAAGCAGCUUUACGUCAUCGGCUUCUAUUCGACCUCCUAAUUGGAUACUCAUCAUAUUGAAAAUUAUAUUUCAAAGUCA